CACUCCUACGGGAGGCAGCAGUGGGGAAUUUUGGACCAUGGGCGCAAGCCUGAUCCAGCCAUGCCGCGUGCGGGAAGAAGGCCUUCGGGUUGUAAACCGCUUUUGUCAGGGAAGAAAAGGUUCUGGCUAAUACCUGGGACUCAUGACGGUACCUGAAGAAUAAGCACCGGCUAACUACGUGCCAGCAGCCGCGGUAAUACGUAGGGUGCAAGCGUUAAUCGGAAUUACUGGGCGUAAAGCGUGCGCAGGCGGUUAUGCAAGACAGAGGUGAAAUCCCCGGGCUCAACCUGGGAACUGCCUUUGUGACUGCAUGGCUAGAGUACGGUAGAGGGGGAUGGAAUUCCGCGUGUAGCAGUGAAAUGCGUAGAUAUGCGGAGGAACACCGAUGGCGAAGGCAAUCCCCUGGACCUGUACUGACGCUCAUGCACGAAAGCGUGGGGAGCAAACAGGAUUAGAAACCCGAGUAGUCCCAU
rnacentral:rRNA from 1 species